AAUGGGGCCACUUUAUUGCAUUAUGCUGUUCAAACAGCAUCAAGUCCAGCAAUCAAAAUUCUUUUGUUAUACAAUGUUGAUCUAAAUCUUCAAGACAAUGAUGGAUGGACACCUUUACAUCUUGCUGUUCAAGCUCGUAGGACAGAUAUAGUGAAACUGUUAUUGGUUAAAGGAGCUGAUAAAACAUUGAAAAACUUGCCUUUUGUUCCUUUGCAUUUUAUUUUAUAUCUGUUCUGCUGGCGAAUAUUCUUCUUUGCACUUUUCAGGAUGGAUGGGCACCUUUACAUCUUGCUGUUCAAGCCCGUAGGACAGAUAUAGUGAAACUGUUAUUGAUUAAAGGAGCUGAUAAAACAUUGAAAAACCAGGAGGGUUUAACCCCACUCGAUCUAUGCCUCUACUCCGGUGAAGACACAAGAACUUACGAAUUAAUCAAGCUGUUGAAGCAGCUUCCAAAACGCCGUUGACUGCUCCGACAUAAAAUCCAUCCCAUCAGUGUAACAAUUGCCAAACUGAUUGUGCAGCCCAGUAGUAGUAUUAGAUUCAGCAUCAUCCAAAAUCACUUAAAAACUGAGCAUCGCACAACUGUAUGUAUGUCAGAUGAUCCUUCCAAUGGCGAACUCGAGCUUACAAGUAACCGACAAGGCACGUAAGAAGAAUGUGCAUUCCACAGCCUGCUCUUUUACUGUAAAAUCUAUCACCCAAUCACAUCAUUAUAUUUUUGUAUAAGUCUAUCAAUUGAAUCUAGGCAGGUAUAGACCUUAUAUUAUUAAUUGGUCAAUCUACCCAAUGAAUAUAAUCUGUUUUAUUCAUUAGCUUCUCAUCUCAUUUUUUGAGCAAGACAAUAGACUAUCAAACUAGUAGAAAAUUUUUACUCUAGAUGUCUUGAA